UACGAAUGGGGCAAGCGUUGUUCGGAAUCACUGGGCUUAAAGCGUGCGCAGGCGGCCAUGCAAGUCAGGAGUGAAAUCCCCGGGCUCAACCCGGGAAUUGCUUUUGAAACUGCAUGGCUAGAAUAUGGGAGAGGUUAGCAGAAUUCCGAGUGUAGAGGUGAAAUUCGCAGAUAUUCGGAGGAAUACCAGUGGCGAAGGCGGCUAACUGGACCAUUAUUGACGCUCAGGCACGAAAGCGUGGGUAGCAAACAGG
rnacentral:rRNA from 1 species